CUCGUCGAAAGUCUUCCAUUCUUCAAACUAGAUUAUUUAAAAAUGAAAAAGGAAGAAAGGAAAGCGAGGUCAUCUCAUUGCUCUAUCCGCCAAUCAGGAGGCUGAAUGUCAGUUUUGAACUAAAAGCCGCUCCGCUCCUCUUCUAGAUUUGGAAAACAAGCGAAAUUAAACUAAACCGCUGCACGCCUCUGAUGCGACAUCUGGACACUGCGUGGCGCUGGCGCUGCCGGAGCUGCGGGCCCGGCCUGGCGCCGGACUAGUCUCCCUUUUGAUGAGAAGAGUAAGUCUCAUUCUGAUUCAACAGCAGAGAUCAAAGAAAAGACUUCUGUUUUCUGGCCACCAGAUAUAUGUUAUCUGUGCUUAAAGAACUGAAAAACACACAUCAAAGGAGAAUUCUCUUGGAAAGAGAGGGUUCAAGCAUUAUUGUUAGGUGUGCUGGAAUCCUUUCCCGAGUCAGUACUGCUUUCUAGAACAGAACCAGGGAGAUCUAUUUGGAAUGUAUCUAACUCCAAAGAAACCAUCAGAGGUAAUAGAUUGGCUUCUCUCACAUGGCAAGAAACAUUGCUGCUAGCACUUCUGGAGUUCUACGUUCUACAACAUCCACCACUGCUAUAUGUCUCACAGUCCAGACUUGGAGUACAAGUAAUAAGAAGAAUAAAACUUACUCCCUUAAGUAGAUUCACCAUAAGUUAGCUCAGGGCAAUUCCAGUGCAAGUAUGGUCUGUGAUCCAACAGUAUCUCACAGACAGCAAGUUGAACAUUGUGGGAUGCAUAAGCUAUUGAGGCCUUUGAAGCUUUCUGCUACAUGGAGGCUAGGGCCAGAGUCAAGAUUUAUGCUUUGCAGCACACUGGUCAGCUGUUUUUGCAAAUCAGAUUAAAUGAUUUUUAAAUGAGGCUGAGAGCAUGGGAGAUACUAAUGUGUGUUUCCUUGUGAGCUACUGCAUAAGUUAGGAAAUUGAAAUACAGAAAGAUGAAAAGUGAUUCGCCCAAGCAUAUAGAUCAAAGCUGUGGCAGA
rnacentral:antisense_RNA from 1 species